GGGGACUAGAGGGCGGAAAGUAGAUCUGUGGGACUUGAGUGAGGAAAAAGUUUGCAAGUCUGGACAGAAGGGAAAAGUGCUCCCGAGAGACCGGCUUUGGGGAGGGGAGGGGGGAGGGAAGAAUAGCUCCUCUUCUUUUUCUUUCUUUCUUUCUUUUUUUUUCUAUUUCUUUCCUCUCUCUCUACUUGAAAAGCUUCUUUCUCUUCACCCAAGCCGACCUACACAAUUGGGACACCCUCGCUAUCCCUCUCCUGCUCUAGCUCUCUCCCAGUAAACCCUCAAGAUUAUGUCAGUUGGCCCGAGCCAGCCGGGGAUUUUGUGCGGGUGCUGAAGAAACUGCGGGAGCCGGAGAAGAAUGAAACUGCGUGGAGUCACCCUGGCUGCCGGCUUGUCCUUACUGGCCCUGAGUCUUUGGGGGCAGCCCGCAGAGGCUGCGGUAAGUCCUCCCCCGCCCUAUCACCGCACUCUCAG
rnacentral:lncRNA from 1 species